AUUGAACGCUGGCGGUAUGCUUAAGACAUGCAAGUCGAACGGUAACAGGUUAAGCUGACGAGUGGCGGACGAGUGAGUAACGCGUGGGAACGUGCCCUGAGGUACGGAAUAACUGCGGGAAACUGCAGCUAAUACCGUAUGAGCCCCGUGAGGGGGAAAGAUUUAUCGCCUUAGGAGCGGCCCGCGUCGGAUUAGCUAGUUGGUGGGGUAACGGCUUACCAAGGCUUCGAUCCGUAGCUGGUCUGAGAGGACGAUCAGCCACACUGGGACUGAGACACGGCCCAGACUCCUACGGGAGGCAGCAGUGGGGAAUCUUGCGCAAUGGGGGCAACCCUGACGCAGCCAUGCCGCGUGAAUGAUGAAGGCCUUAGGGUUGUAAAGUUCUUUUGCCCGUGACGAUGAUGACGGUAACGGGAGAAUAAGCUCCGGCUAACUUCGUG
rnacentral:rRNA from 1 species